rnacentral:rRNA from 1 species
UACGUAGGGUGCGAGCGUUAAUCGGAAUUACUGGGCGUAAAGCGUGCGCAGGCGGUUCGCUGUGUCCGAUGUGAAAGCCCCGGGCUUAACCUGGGAAUGGCAUUGGAAACUGGCGGGCUUGAGUGCGGCAGAGGGGGGUGGAAUUCCGCGUGUAGCAGUGAAAUGCGUAGAGAUGCGGAGGAACACCGAUGGCGAAGGCAGCCCCCUGGGUCGACACUGACGCUCAGGCACAAAAGCGUGGGGAGCAAACAGG